AUGCACGCUGGCGGCGUGCCUAAUACAUGCCAGUCGCGCGAACAGACGAGGAGCUUGCUCCUCUGACGUUAGCGGCGGACGGGUGAGUAACACGUGGAUAACCUACCUAUAAGACUGGGAUAACUUCGGGAAACCGGAGCUAAUACCGGAUAAUAUAUUGAACCGCAUGGUUCAAUAGUGAAAGACGGUUUUGCUGUCACUUAUAGAUGGAUCCGCGCCGCAUUAGCUAGUUGGUAAGGUAACGGCUUACCAAGGCAACGAUGCGUAGCCGACCUGAGAGGGUGAUCGGCCACACUGGAACUGAGACACGGUCCAGACUCCUACGGGAGGCAGCAGUAGGGAAUCUUCCGCAAUGGGCGAAAGCUUGACGGAGGAACGCCGCGUGAGUGAUGAAGGUCUUCGGAUCGUAAAACUCUGUUAUUAGGGAAGAACAAAUGUGUAAGUAACUAUGCACGUCUUGACGGUACCUAAUCAGAAAGCCACGGCUAACUACGUG
rnacentral:rRNA from 1 species